UGGGGAAUAUUGGACAAUGGGCGAAAGCCUGAUCCAGCCAUGCCGCGUGUGUGAAGAAGGUCUUCGGAUUGUAAAGCACUUUAAGUUGGGAGGAAGGGCAUUUACCUAAUACGUAAGUGUUUUGACGUUACCGACAGAAUAAGCACCGGCUAACUCUGUGCCAGCAGCCGCGGUAAUACAGAGGGUGCAAGCGUUAAUCGGAAUUACUGGGCGUAAAGCGCGCGUAGGUGGUUUGUUAAGUUGGAUGUGAAAUCCCCGGGCUCAACCUGGGAACUGCAUUCAAAACUGACAAGCUAGAGUAUGGUAGAGGGUGGUGGAAUUUCCUGUGUAGCGGUGAAAUGCGUAGAUAUAGGAAGGAACACCAGUGGCGAAGGCGACCACCUGGACUGAUACUGACACUGAGGUGCGAAAGCGUGGGGAGCAAACAGGAUUAGAUACCCGAGUAGUCCCUGAGCGGGCUGGCAAGGCG
rnacentral:rRNA from 1 species